AAAGUGGCAGACAGACAAAAUGCAUAGAAUAAACAAUGUUAUGUCUGUUAUGUCUUCUUUUUACAUGCAGAAGCACAGAUUUUAAAAAACUGGCCAUGGGAAGUACUGCUGUUCCCAUCUAGAGAACUCCAACUCUAACUUAAAACAAAAACAAGCUUCUAGUCCUCCUGGCUACAAAGAUAUAUUUAAAAGCUUGCAUUAGUGACAUGAUCUAGGAAUGAAGCAGUGACUUGACCAGAGAAGAAGAGACAAUCCAGCAGAAAAUAAAAACAGACCCAAGCACAAGCGAAGAACCUUAGACCCAAGAGCAUGAAAAUCCUUCCUAAGCCUGAGAUGAGCAGUGGUGUUUAGUUAUAACAGGACACACGGACCCACCUCUACAAAACAUAUGAAGAUACACCAAAAAGAAAAACUGAUGUGGACCUUCAACUACUGUUAAUUUUGAUUUAACCCUUUUUUAUUUUUGCUUUUUAUUUUAUCUAGAAAUGUUUGUAGUAGA